AUAUUUUUCAAUACAUAUAUUUUAAUUAUAAUUUUUUUACAACGGAAAAAUCUGAAGGCAAUCUAUUGUCUUAUAUUUCCGGAUACAUAGUUUUUCAAAGUUAAAGAUUGCUAACCUUUAUAAUUUCUGAGAAAUUAAUAACUCAUGGUGUUGAAUUUUCUGGCGAUGAUCAAGAUCUCAUCGAAACUUUUCAAGAUACUGCUAAUAGGGGUGGUUUUAAAAGGGCUAUUUAUUAUAUUUAGUUACGUUACAUAGUAGUCAACUUAACAAUAUGAUAUUUUCUGCGACUAAAAAUUACGAAUUUUAUUGACCUUGACAAAUUCAAGACGAUGCUUUAUAAAGCUAUUUGUCAUUUUAUUAGAAACAGGAGAUUCCUAUCAUCCUAUUGGGUUGAAGUGGAAAAAACAUCAUUUUGCUAAUUGUAUUGCUCAUGUUGGAUUUAAAUAUAUUAAUAUAUCUAGCAAAAA
rnacentral:lncRNA from 1 species